rnacentral:lncRNA from 7 species
UGAGGAAAGAAAGAAGAUGAGCUGAGCAGAGUGCUGGGACCGAGUACAGCAAGGUCAACCUGGGCUUUUUAUCCAUCUCCUUACCCUUGGCAGCUGAGAAGACCACCAGGCUGAACAGCCCCCUAAUUACUGUGAUGGCAUUGCCUUGAUUUUGUACUGCAACAUGGCUGUGAUUUGGAGCUUGUCAGCUGAAACUGCUCCACAGAACUGUUGCUCUUUAUCUGGGCUGAGCAAUCAACUUGACAGAGUAUGUGUUUUGCCUGUUUCCCUUGAGCUGGAACUUCAGUACCUGACAGAACUUGGCCGCAUGUGUGAUUUUUCUGGAAUUCACAGAGUUGUGCAGAGUUGUGCUCCUUUCUGCCAUUCUGAAUUGGCAGAAAGAAGAACUUCUCCCCUGCUUUCCACGACAGGACAAGUUCUCUAAUGCAGAUGACUUGGAAGAAGAGUGAAAUGAUGCUGUCCAGCCUGGAUUCUAAACUUGUCAUUAACUGAAAUAAUGCAGGCUGCUUGAUGGGGAGCAGAGCUGUCCCUGCUUCCUACUUUGAAAGAGUAAGUCCUGUAUUUUGAUCAAAUUAGGUUAUUUCUAUUGCCUUCCACCUUAUGUUACAACACAUUUUAUCCUGAUUCGCCCCUCUUCUGUACAUAUCUCUCAGGUUUUUGCAGCCUUCCAAGCAUUUUGGGAAUGCUUCACAAGAAGCAGUUGUGUAGUGUCUCUCUACUAAAGGUACACUGUUUUCAUCUCCCAUACUGUUUUCUUUUUUUGCCCAAUUUGUGUCAGGAUGUAGUGUGGCAGAAUGUGAAAAGAGUAUGCCUCUGCAUUGAGAAUGGUAAGAGUACUGCACCCCAAUUUCCCAACUCCUUUUUCCUAACUGCAAUGGAAAACUUCCUCUUAGAAUUCAUGGCAAAACUACAGUUGAAUUUCACCAAGUAUUUGUAGCAGGAUAACUAUGUCACUGGAGCACCCAAACCUGGCUGUAUUAUGGAGUAGAAACUUUAAAGCACCCUGUAAAGUGGUGAACAGAGACGGCAGCAAAGGAUAUAGGACAGAUUUCCAUUCUAAACGUAUUAAAGUUUUUAUGUUGU